GAGCGCGUAGCUCAGCCGGUAGAGCAACUGACUUUUAAUCAGUAGGUUCCAGGGUUCGAAAUCCCUGCGCGCUCACCA
rnacentral:tRNA from 1 species